rnacentral:rRNA from 1 species
AUUGAACGCUGGCGGCAGGCCUAACACAUGCAAGUCGAGCGAGCGGCGGGCAGGGGCGUAAUGUGUGUGGACUGCCCGAUAGAGGGGGAUAACUAUUGUAAACGGUAGCUCAUACAGCGUACUACAAGAUAACCCCUAUGGGAUUAGCUAGAAGGUGAGGUAUUGGCUCACCUAGGCGACGAUCCCUAGCUGGUCUGAGAGGAUGAUCAGCCACACUGGGACUGAGAAACGUCCCAGACUCGUACGGAGGCAGCAGUGGUGAAUAUUGCACAAUGGGCGCAAGCCUGAUGCAUCCAUGCCGCGUGUAUGAAGAAGGCCCUAGGGUUGUAAAGUACUUUCAGUCGGGAGGCGUUACCGGCAGAAGAAGCACCGGCUAACUCCGUGCCAGCAGCCGCGGUAAUUC